CAGUAGCCGCGGGAAUACGUAGGGUGCGAGCGUUAAUCGGAAUUACUGGGCGUAAAGCGUGCGCAGGCGGUUUUGUAAGACAGGCGUGAAAUCCCCGGGCUCAACCUGGGAAUGGCGCUUGUGACUGCAAAGCUGGAGUGCGGCAGAGGGGGAUGGAAUUCCGCGUGUAGCAGUGAAAUGCGUAGAUAUGCGGAGGAACACCGAUGGCGAAGGCAAUCCCCUGGGCCUGCACUGACGCUCAUGCACGAAAGCGUGGGGAGCAAACAGGAUUAGAUACCCCCGUAGUCCCUGUCUCUUAUAC
rnacentral:rRNA from 1 species